GCUGACACUUGGCAUAGCUCUGGUUUGAGGAUUGAAGAGGCUUCUUAUGUACGUUUUUAUUACAUCGUAACCUUCAUUCUAACAUUUAACCCUAAUUAUCAUUCUCUCUCUCUGAAGAUCAUCGGUGACGACCACCAUCUUACCUUUCUCUCAUAAGUUUUCCUUUUAUCACCAUUAAUAACCCUAAAUCUCAUCUAAUCCUUCUCUCAAACAUCAUCGGACGAAAUCAAAUCCAUCAUCGCUACUUUCUUCUUCUUCUUCAUCAAUUGCAGUAGUGAUAAUAGAGAUCGUGGAUCAUCUGGAUUGCCUACGCUACCGGCGAACGAAAACGGACAUCUUAAACCUCAUCCGUCGCAACAAAAUCCGUCUGCGAAGUUGCUGACGUUGCCUACAAUUUUGACUAUUGCUCGAGUCGCAUCUGUUCCUCUUCUGAUUAAUAAUAUGUUUUUCUAAAAUUAGGUCAACAUUUUUAAUCAAAUAUUUCAUUAUUUAAUUUGAAUGUGAUGUUGAAUCAUGUUACCUUUGUGAGUUGAAUUUUGAAUCUCGGUACUGUUUGAUCAUUAAUCAAUUCAUUAUUUGAUUAUGUUAUUAGGAUUACUUUUCAGUUACUGCUAUUCUUUUAAUAUGAAGGGAAGCAUCUUUAAUUUCUGUCAUACUAUUAAUAUUUUUCUUCUCCAGGUUAGUUUUGUAGCGCUUUGACUAUUUUAAAGUGUUGCUGAAAAUGGUUGUUUGUAGGUGAUAAAGCAGCCAUCUGGUACUCGGCAGUCAGAGAAGGCUCUUACACGUAGGCUUCUUUAGAUUGUUGGUAUGGUAGAUCACUUUUAUAAUUGUCAUGUUAUUUGGGAUUAUUUAAUCAUACAUUUAAGAUGAUGCUUUUUGCAAAUUUGAAAUUUUUCGGGUAUCAAACAUGCUAAUUUGCUGGAUAUGCCAACAUAUAGUAUAAGAAACUGCAGUUCUAGAAGUAAUACGGCUUUUAGCAGCCGAAAGAGAACAGACUCUGUACGCGCUACAUGGAUGCCUCAAGGUUGUUUUCCCUUCUGCCUUUUUAGCUAAUGCACAUGACUAGGUGUUUAGAGAUCAAAACUUUUGUACAUGUCGGGGUUGGGUUUAGGUUAAGCUGAACACCUUUGUCUAAUAAAAAAUAUUGUUUCUAAGUAAAAAGGUUUAUGAGGUUUCGUGGUGAAUUCUAUUCUAUUUUUAUACAAACUCUAGGUGAUAAACUGAGGAAAUUGGAGGAAGAAACGGGUAUCAUUAUGCGCUUUGUCAUAGGUCACGGGUAGGCAUCACCUAUUUCACCAUCUUCCUGUUAUGCAUAAAAGCAUGAGAAUAUAAAGGAGCUGAUUGUGUUGACCUUUGACUUUUAUCAUUGCAGUGCUACAUCUGGUGUAGGGAUGACAAUCAAACCCGAACCCGCUGGGUAAAAACCCGAAACCCGACAUAUUUGGGACGGGUUUGGGAAUAGUUUUUAUUUUUUUCGCGGGUUUGGGACGGGUUUAGGAUUUGGUGAUAUACCCGGUUACCCGACCCAAUUACCCGAUAAAGUGUACUUGUUUACCCGAUUGUAUACCCGAUAUAAUUUCUUUUAUAUUAUUAAAUAUGUAUCUAUGAUACAUCCAUUUUUUUACACAUAUUGGUAUUUCCGUAUACAUUGUAGUUAUUUGAUAUAAAUUUUUAUAAUGACAAUAAAAAAUGUAAUCGGUUAGUAGUUACCCGAUAGAUACCCAAUGGGUUUUGAGAUGAGUAUACCCAACGAGUAAUCUUUUUAAAUUAACGGGUUUACCCGAAACCCGCGGGUAUACCCGAUACCCGGUGGGUAUUUACCCGCUAGAAACCCGACGGGUUUUGGGACGGGUUUGGGACAAGCUUAUCUAAUCGGGUUUGGGUUUGGGAUUACCUAAACCCGCCCCAAACCCGAUCCAUUGCCAUCCCUAAUCUGGUGGUAUACUUGAUAGAGCUAUUGAAGCAGAAGACAGAAAGCAUGGAGAUUUCUUGAGACUUGUAAAAAUACAAUCUUUUUUACUACACCUUUUUUUUUUUAUCUUGAGUCUUGAUUCAAGAGUUUGCUGACUUACAUGGUAUGUGAGUAGGAGCAUAUCGAGGGGUACCUUGAAUUAUCAGCUAAACAAAAACAUAUUUUACGAUCGCUGUUGCUUUAUGGGAUGCAGAUUUCUAUGUCAAGGUUGAUGAUGAUGUACAUGUAAAUAUAGGAAGAAAUAGAACAAGAUUGAACUUGCAGAUGCUUUGGCACUAAAACUUCUCCAAAGAUAUAACUACUCUGUCACGGCAAUGAAACUAGAUAACAUCGACUCAUUUAUCCGAAGUUGGUGAGUCUUAGGUGCAAGUUGGGUUGCUGACAGGAAAGCUAACUGAAGUAAGCAUGAUGCUGUGUGCAAAAGAAAUGCUACUGAGGCUACUCAUCAAACAUCUGCAAAGCCAAAUCGUUGAUAAAGUGGAAGUAUUUAUUAAGAUCAUCAAUGGAGAGAGGUUCAUCAAUGAGGCGCCUAAGGCGCUUGUGCUAAAAGCCGUAUUAAUUCCUACAACCAUCAAACAUAUGUUAUUGUACUUGUGUUUAGAUUAUUUUUUUCUUUUUUAUCAUUUUUUAUUGUUUUCAUGUUGCUUUAGCGGCAUGUAAAAAUUAAUCCGCUAAUAGUGUUUCUUCCAAUGUAUGCGUUUUCACAGAAUAAUAAAUUUCAAAGUAAA